AUUGAACGCUGGCGGCAGGCCUAACACAUGCAAGUCGAGCGGUUGAGGGGAGCUUGCUCCCUGAUUUAGCGGCGGACGGGUGAGUAAUGCGUAGGAAGCUGCCCGAUAGAGGGGGAUACCAGUUGGAAACGACUGUUAAUACCGCAUAAUGUCUACGGACCAAAGUGUGGGACCUUCGGGCCACAUGCUAUCGGAUGCGCCUACGUGGGAUUAGCUAGUUGGUGAGGUAAUGGCUCACCAAGGCGACGAUCUCUAGCUGGUUUGAGAGGAUGAUCAGCCACGAUGGAACUGAGACACGGGCCAAACUCCUACGGGAGGCAGCAGUGGGGAAUAUUGGACAAGGGGCGCAAGCCUGAUCCAGCCAUGCCGCGUGUGUGAAGAAGGCCUUCGGGUUGUAAAGCACUUUCAGCGAGGAGGAAGGGUGGUGUGUUAAUAGCACAUCAUUUUGACGUUACUCGCAGAAGAAGCACCGGCUAACUCUGUGCCAGCAGCCGCAGUAACAC
rnacentral:rRNA from 1 species